rnacentral:rRNA from 1 species
AGUGAACGCUGGCGGUAGGCCUAACACAUGCAAGUCGAACGGCAGCACAGGGGAGCUUGCUCUCUGGGUGGCGAGUGGCGGACGGGUGAGGAAUACAUCGGAAUCUACUCUGUCGUGGGGGAUAACGUAGGGAAACUUGCGCUAAUACCGCAUACGACCUACGGGUGAAAGCAGGGGACCUUCGGGCCUUGCGCGAUUGAAUGAGCCGAUGUCGGAUUAGCUAGUUGGCGGGGUAAAGGCCCACCAAGGCGACGAUCCGUAGCUGGUCUGAGAGGAUGAUCAGCCACACUGGAACUGAGACACGGUCCAGACUCCUACGGGAGGCAGCAGUGGGGAAUAUUGGACAAUGGGCGCAAGCCUGAUCCAGCCAUACCGCGUGGGUGAAGAAGGCCUUCGGGUUGUAAAGCCCUUUUGUUGGGAAAGAAAUCCAGCUGGCUAAUACCCGGUUGGGAUGACGGUACCCAAAGAAUAAGCACCGGCUAACUUCGUGCCAGCAGCCGCAGUAA